CGCCCGUGGCGCGGUCCAGCCGCGCCACGGCGACCGCCCCGCCGCGGGUGCGGGUGAGCCCGCGGUGGAUCUGCUCCACCACGGCGGCC
rnacentral:tRNA from 1 species